rfam:Spinacia oleracea cultivar SynViroflay scaffold8805.con0004.1, whole genome shotgun sequence.
UGCCUAUUAGCUCAAAUGGUAGAGCAGUGUGCGAUUGCACAUAGAUGUAGGUUCGAAUCCUACAUAGGUUG